rnacentral:rRNA from 1 species
CCUACGGGAGGCAGCAGUGAGGAAUAUUGGUCAAUGGGCGGGAGCCUGAACCAGCCAAGUCGCGUGAGGGAAGACGGUCCUAUGGAUUGUAAACCUCUUUAGGCGGGGAGCAAUGCCGGGCACGCGUGCCCGGAGGGAGAGUACCCGCAGAAUAAGCAUCGGCUAACUCCGUGCCAGCAGCCGCGGUAAUACGGAGGAUGCGAGCGUUAUCCGGAUUUAGUGGGUUUAAAGGGUUCGUAGGCGGAUUUUUAAGUCAGCGGUAAAAUGUCCGGGCUCAACCCGGGCCGGCCGUUGAAACUGGGGAUCUUGAGUGGGCGAGAAGUAUGCGGAAUGCGUGGUGUAGCGGUGAAAUGCAUAGAUAUCACGCAGAACUCCGAUUACGAAGGCAGCAUACCGGCGCCCGACUGACGCUGAGGCACGAAAGCGUGGGGAUCGAACAGGAUUAGAUACCCCGGUAGUC